rnacentral:rRNA from 1 species
GACGAACGCUGGCGGCGUGCUUAACACAUGCAAGUCGAACGAAGAGCGACGGAAGCUUGCUUCUAUCAAUCUUAGUGGCGAACGGGUGAGUAACGCGUAAUCAACCUGCCCUUCAGAGGGGGACAACAGUUGGAAACGACUGCCAAUACCGCAUACGAUCUAACCUCGGCAUCGAGGAUAGAUGAAAGGUGGCCUCUACAUGUAAGCUAUCACUGAAGGAGGGGAUUGCGUCUGAUUAGCUAGUUGGAGGGGUAACGGCCCACCAAGGCGAUGAUCAGUAGCCGGUCUGAGAGGAUGAACGGCCACAUUGGGACUGAGACACGGCCCAGACUCCUACGGGAGGCAGCAGGGGGGAAUCUUCCGCAAUGGACGAAAGUCUGACGGAGCAACGCCGCGUGAGUGAUGACGGCCUUCGGGUUGGAAAGCUCUGUUAAUCGGGACGAAAGGCCUUCUUGCGAAUAGUGAGAAGGAUUGACGGUACCGGAAUAGAAAGCCACGGCUAACUACGUG